GUUUGUCUUGUGCUUGAUUCAUUUAUCCAUGCUAGCAUCAAUUGGGAAUUUCUCACAGCGUAGCUGAUUUUGACUCACUAUUCACUUUUUCGAUAAAUGGGAAUGGGAGUGGAGCGAGAGGUGCACAAAGUGGUGACUGCAACGCUAAAGAGCAUACGAAAUCUCAUACAUUUGCUGUCUCAACAAAGUAGGAACUCGAGCGAUUCUGAGUGUGUGAUUAGGAGAAGGGGAUGUUUCAAUAUAAAAAUAUACGUUGAAUUUCUAGAAUGGAUGGAAUUGGAAAGAAAAAACACACUAGUGUUGCUGCCAUACAUCAAUUGUUAUGUUUCUAGGGGCACUAUAGAGAUAGGUGCAGGUGGUGGCAGGGGCACCGUGGUGGCAGGGGCAUUUAUAGGAACUGAACAAGUUUUUUUUAUAGAUUAAAUGUGUAUGUAUCCAAUAUUUAAAAAAUAAUGUUUUGUGAGCAGUUGAACUGCGCAACUUCUUUCA